UACGGGGGGGGCAAGCGUUGUUCGGAAUUACUGGGCGUAAAGGGCUCGUAGGCGGCCAACUAAGUCAGACGUGAAAUCCCCAGGCUCAACCUGGGAACUGCGUCUGAUACUGGAUGGCUUGAAUCCGGGAGAGGGAUGCAGAAUUCCAGGUGUAGCGGUGAAAUGCGUAGAUAUUGGGAGGAACACCAGUGGCGAAGGCGGCUCACUGGACCGGAACUGACGCUGAGGCGCGAAAGCGUGGGGAGCAAACAGG
rnacentral:rRNA from 1 species